rnacentral:rRNA from 1 species
UAGGGAAUCUUCGGCAAUGGACGAAAGUCUGACCGAGCAACGCCGCGUGAGUGAAGAAGGUUUUCGGAUCGUAAAACUCUGUUGUUAGAGAAGAACAAGGACGUUAGUAACUGAACGUCCCCUGACGGUAUCUAACCAGAAAGCCACGGCUAACUACGUGCCAGCAGCCGCGGUAAUACGUAGGUGGCAAGCGUUGUCCGGAUUUAUUGGGCGUAAAGCGAGCGCAGGCGGUUUCUUAAGUCUGAUGUGAAAGCCCCCGGCUCAACCGGGGAGGGUCAUUGGAAACUGGGGGACUUGAGUGCAGAGGAGGAGAGUGGAAUUCCAGGUGUAGCGGUGAAGUGCGUAGAUAUAUGGAGGAACACCAGUGGCGAAGGCGGCUCUCUGGUCUGUAACUGACGCUGAGGCUAAAAAGCGUGGGGAGCAAACAGG